GCGCAUGCCCUCUCCAUCUAUUUUCUAGCACACUUGACUGGUUAUCAUUUCAAAGUUGAUUGACUGAACAGACGAGUUUCUCGUGAGAACAUAAGGAUUGUUUUGUAUGAGACAAUGGUGACCACUGCUGUGGGUAUUACUAAACUUGAAACUGGGCUGAAAUGAGGCGGCUGUAAGAGUGAGAACGAAGGCCUAUAGCUGUAUGACACAGGUAUCUAAGACCCGAUAUGUCUAUCCCGAGAUCAUGGACGAGGUUUCUGUCAGUUUUUCUGACUGAGUUUCUGCUUCUCCUGGUGAAAAUAGAUGCUCAGUCCCUUGAAGUAAGGACAGGAGAAUGUAGCAGAUUUAUUGGAAGUCAAAUAGAGAUGACUGGCAAGUACAAUUCACUUCCUGGAGAUCCCACGGAAUGGCAAAGGCCGGAUAUUACUGGCAUCGGGACAUGUCAACCGAAUGUUUCCUGUACACCAUUUCUGCCAGGAUAUAAAAUAUAUUACAACAACUCUGGUCUAGACUACACGUUAUUAAUAACAGCUGCAUCUCCUAUUGAUGAAGGACUGUGGGAACUAAUAGAUGGGGUAACUCCACUCUCCACUUCCCUCACCUUUACAGGCCAACUUGCCUACUCCUCAAACCAACAGCAACACUACAGGGUGCCCAACUGGGGCUCGGUAUUCCUCCACGAUCCCUCUCGACAGCAACCUACAUAGCGGGAUCUCGGAACUGUGUUACAUAUUGUUUAGCGGAAACUGUAACCAUACACAGACCGACCAUUGCAUAUCAGUUGUGAUACGGCCUACGACAACAACUAUCCCUCCCACACCAACAACAACUGUACAUUCGAACAAUUUUUCUGGAAACAACAGCAACGGUAAUCGGUGUACAAGGGAGUUUAUAUGUUCCAGUGGUGGUUUACAUAAGUUGAGACCAUACCGAUAAGAUAGAAUUCCACGCUAUCUGAUAUGUGCUGUCAGAGGGAAGACAACAAUUGGAUAAUAAACUAAUAGACCUGUGUCUCGCUUCACAGCCUCUGGAAAUUUCCAUAUUACCCUAAAGCGUACAGGACAUGGAAUUGUCCACCGAAAAAUGCAAGGAGAGUAAAACACAGCAAAACCAAGUAAUGAUGUCCACAUGAAGCCAACGAACGGAUCACCCUUAUCGAGCAAGAAGAAACCUGGAAUAUAAGAGGACAUGGGAGCUGAGUCGACAUAAACACGCAGGUCUUCAAAUGUAGUUCAAAGCUAUGAUCCCUCCAAGUUCAAGCAAAAACGUUUCAGCGGUGAAUGUUGACAGCAAAUUAUAUAUUGAAAUAAAAAACGUGUUAAUUGGAGAGUUUUAUACAGUGAUCGUUUGUUUCUAACCACGCGGUAACCAAACUUUAAGAUAAUAUAAUGCUGUCGUCCAUUCUAGUGUCCGCAUAUUUGCGGUGGUUAAAACAUAUGUGAAAAAGGUGUAAAGAAGCAAUUUUAUCAAUUUAUUUCUCAGAAGUGUAUCCUGGAUGCACCAUAAUGUUGUAUUUUUGUUGUGUUUUGGCGUCCUGACAUACACAGUGUUAUCUGCGCCUUUUGUGCUGCAGCCUUUGGCAUCUGGGAUUACAUCUGCCCCACUUUUUAUCUGUGAUAACUUUUACAACUGUGCGUGUAGGAUACAGCCAACAGUAAAGUUGAGCAGAAUUGCCUUUUAUAUGAUCAUGAAUAUUUAGGUUUCAGAGAAAAAAAACAUGGCAAAACAUUCAAAAAUAUCAAGGUGCUGUGUUGGUUAAAUUAGGUGAAGCAGUGAUGUUUGCCAUGCAAGGGUGAGACCCUUCCGGUGCUUGCCUGUAAUUUAAGCAAAAUCAUCCUUUUAUGUGAUUUUUUAUCGAUCAGUUAUCAGCUUUUUCCAUCAUUAUACAAAGCCUUUACGUAUGCUUUUACACGAUUAAUAACACUUAUGAUCGGUCGUAAUAGUGUGUGACCACCUGAAUGACAUUUUCACACUGUAAAGAUAUAGGAUUGAUACUGAUAUGCUGCUGUCUUCUCAACACCAUGAAUCGCAUAUUGCGGGGGACCGGUUUCCACCCACCGUAAUGCUGGCCGUCGUCGUAUAAGUGAAAUAUUCCUGUGUACGGCGUUAAACACCAAUCAAAUAAAUAAAUAAAUAAAUCGCAUACUGUAGGUUAUAAAUGCAUUUCCCGGUUUCAUGAAGCGCAUUACUAGCGGAGUAAGCUCUUAACUACGAUGACAACGUAUGUCAUAGAGAUAAGAAGUGCACUUAUUUCCAUGGGCUCCUUACCACUAAGUAUACUUCUAGAACUUGGCAUAUCAACUGGGCAUAUCAACUGAAUAGUAUGUGAACAUCUCUCUAUAAUCAAACACGUCAUUCUCGGAAACAGAGUAGAGAGUCUGAUGUAUGCAUAGAUAUUGUCCAAAUUAUUUCCUCUUCAUAUUCAGAAUUUGCAAUAGGCUUUAUAUUACCCACGAUCAUGAAAAUAAGAAAUUUUUGGAAAGCUAGUAGAAGAAACUUUGGUGCAAAUUGUGAAGAAAAUAUAUUCAUCAACAAUCAGUAAAUACAAUUAGAAUAUUAUUUACAAAGUGUGUUCUUUCAGACACAUAGUUAAUGGAGAAAAAGACAUGAAAACAGCAGAUAAAUGUUUGGGUGUUUUUUUUUUUUUGGAUUUGUAAGGUACUGUCAACAUUACAAAUUUUCUCUUGUGUCGGAGUGAUUUUUCUGUGCAGUUCAAAUAUAUCAUGGCAACAGAUAUUUCAUGCAUGUAUUUAUAUUCAACUGUUUUGGCACUGUUUUACAUGUCAAAUAUUCUUGUAAAGCACGAAAUAAUGACACGUUUAUUGCAGCUUAUUGACAUGCUUUUUUAUCAAUGUUUAUCAUUUUGUUCAUACCUAUGUAUGCUUGUUUCGCCAUGUACCACUUCGUGGUGAUCUUCAGGGUCACCAUAGAAACAGGAAGAUACACGGAUAGUUUUUGUAACACCUGAACGAACCUCUGCGUCAAUUGGGUCACAUCAGUCCGAUGUCUUCCAUUUACACAUUUCGUAGAUAGCUAUAAUGGAGUUCUGUGAAGUAAAGCUAUUUCUGUCUGUGCUUCGAUAGGCGUAUGACUCAGACCGACCUAUUUUGUUUCGGCCUCUUUUGAAAUGUACGGAAGUUUGCGUAAUAUAUACAUACGCAUCUUUCUGUCAAAUAUACCUUGGCCUCUUUUUGAAAUGUGCGGAUGUAUGCGAAGUACGUACAUACGCAUUUUUCUGUCAAAUAUACUGGUAGAGUUUGCUUUCAUGUACAGUGAGGUAUGUUAAAAUCCACGGCUAACCCUGACCACACGUCGCGACUAAAACUAGGCUGUCGUUUAAAGCAGGUGUGGUCAUGGUAACUGUCAAUUCGAGUCCAGAUAGAAAUAAGAGGCCUUUUCCAGAUUAUAUGGGUUUUAGCACACAACGCUUUUUUGUCGAUCAAAAAGCCG